rnacentral:rRNA from 1 species
AACGUAGGACACAAGCGUUAUCCGGAAUUACUGGGCGUAAAGGGCGUGCAGGCGGUUGGGGAAGUUAGGCGUGAAAGACUUCGGCUAAACCGGGGGAGGUCGUCUGAUACUGCUCAACUUGAGUAUGGUAGAGGCGUGUAGAAUUCCGGGUGUAGUGGUGAAAUGCGUAGAGAUCCGGAGGAAUACCAGUGGCGAAGGCGGCACGCUGGGCCAUAACUGACGCUAAGACGCGAAAGCAUGGGUAGCGAACGGG